rnacentral:rRNA from 1 species
AGAGUUUGAUCCUGGCUCAGGACGAACGCUGGCGGCGUGCCUAACACAUGCAAGUCGAACGAAGUAUGUUUUUCGGAAUGUACUUAGUGGCGGACGGGUGAGUAACGCGUGAAUAAUCUGCCCCAUACAGGGGGAUAGCCUCGGGAAACCGGGAUUAAAACCGCAUGAUGCUUUUUUAUCGCAUGGUAGAGAAGUCAAAUCGAAUAAGAGGUAUGGGAUGAGUUCGCGUCUGAUUAGCUGGUUGGCGGGGUAAGAGCCCACCAAGGCGACGAUCAGUAGCCGGCCUGAGAGGGUGACCGGCCACACUGGAACUGAGACACGGUCCAGACUCCUACGGGAGGCAGCAGUGGGGAAUAUUGCACAAUGGAGGGAACUCUGAUGCAGCGACGCCGCGUGAGUGAAGAAGGUCUUCGGAUCGUAAAACUCUGUCCUUGGUGACGAAGAAAAUGACGGUAGCCAAGGAGGAAGCCCCGGCUAACUACGUGCCAGCAGCCGCGGUAAUACGUAGGGGGCGAGCGUUGUCCGGAUUUACUGGGCGUAAAGGGUGAGUAGGCGGUUAUAUAUGUCAGGUGUAAAAAGCUAUGGCUUAACCAUAGUAAGCACUUGAAACUGUAUGACUUGAGUGCAGGAGAGGUAAGCGGAAUUCCUAGUGUAGCGGUGAAAUGCGUAGAUAUUAGGAGGAACACCGGUGGCGAAGGCGGCUUACUGGACUGUAACUGACGCUGAGUCACGAAAGCGUGGGUAGCAAACAGGAUUAGAUACCCUGGUAGUCCACGCCGUAAAACGAUGAGUGCUAGGUGUUGGGCAGCAAUGCUCAGUGCCGAAGUAAACACAAUAAGCACUCCGCGCUGGGGAGUACGUACGCAAGUAUGAAACUCAAAUGAAUUGACGG